GAUGAACGCUGGCGGCGUGCCUAAUACAUGCAAGUCGAGCGAACAGACGAGGAGCUUGCUCCUCUGACGUUAGCGGCGGACGGGUGAGUAACACGUGGAUAACCUACCUAUAAGACUGGGAUAACUUCGGGAAACCGGAGCUAAUACCGGAUAAUAUAUUGAACCGCAUGGUUCAAUAGUGAAAGACGGUUUUGCUGUCACUUAUAGAUGGAUCCGCGCCGCAUUAGCUAGUUGGUAAGGUAACGGCUUACCAAGGCUACGAUGCGUAGCCGACCUGAGAGGAUGAUCUGCCACACUGGAACUGAGACACGGUCCAGACUCCUAAGGGAGGCAGCAGUAGGGAAUCUUCGGCAAUGGGCGAAAGCCUGAAAGAGCAAAGCCGCGUGAGUGAGGAAGGUCUUCGGGUCGUAAAACUCUGUUAUUAGGGAAGAACAAAAGGGGAAGUAAACAUGGACGUCUUGACGGUACCUAAACAAAAAGCCACGGCUAACUUCGUG
rnacentral:rRNA from 1 species